UACGUAGGGUGCAAGCGUUAUCCGGAAUUAUUGGGCGUAAAGAGCUCGUAGGCGGUUUGUCGCGUCUGCCGUGAAAGUCCGGGGCUCAACUCCGGAUCUGCGGUGGGUACGGGCAGACUAGAGUGCAGUAGGGGAGACUGGAAUUCCUGGUGUAGCGGUGAAAUGCGCAGAUAUCAGGAGGAACACCGAUGGCGAAGGCAGGUCGUCUGGGCCGAUACUGACACUGAGGAGCGAAAGCGUGGGGAGCGAACAGG
rnacentral:rRNA from 1 species